UGGGGAAUUUUGGACAAUGGGCGAAAGCCUGAUCCAGCAAUGCCGCGUGUGUGAAGAAGGCCUUCGGGUUGUAAAGCACUUUUGUCCGGAAAGAAAUCCUCUGGGUUAAUACCUCGGGGGGAUGACGGUACCGGAAGAAUAAGCACCGGCUAACUACGUGCCAGCAGCCGCGGUAAUACGUAGGGUGCAAGCGUUAAUCGGAAUUACUGGGCGUAAAGCAUGCGCAGGCGGUUUUGUAAGACGGAUGUGAAAUCCCCGGGCUUAACCUGGGAACUGCAUUCGUGACUGCAAGGCUAGAGUAUGGCAGAGGGGGGUAGAAUUCCACGUGUAGCAGUGAAAUGCGUAGAGAUGUGGAGGAAUACCGAUGGCGAAGGCAGCCCCCUGGGCCAAUACUGACGCUCAUGCACGAAAGCGUGGGGAGCAAACAGGAUUCAGAUACCCUGGUAGUCCACGCCCUAAACGAUGUCAACUAGUUGUUGGGGAUUCAUUUCCUUAGUAACGUAGCUAACGCGUGAAGUUGACCGCCUGGGGAGUACGGUCGCAAGAUUAAAACUCAAAGGAAUUGAC
rnacentral:rRNA from 1 species